UUUUGCUGUAACAAAAUUAGAACAAAUAUCUGCGGUUAGGCCGUUAAAUAGAAUAUCUACAGUUCUUCUUGCAGCAAAAUGUUUUCUGCUUGCACAUUCUUAUAUUGUACUAAAGUAGAUGCUAAAAUCCAAUGCUAUAAAAUUUGUUCCCUGCUUCUCCAUACCGAUGCUGAGAUCCAGCACAUGAAUGCACGAUGCAACUUGCAGUUUGCCUUGGUACUUUAAAUAACUGGAGUAAAAUAAAUCGGUGGCGAGAGACUGUGCAUAUAUCCUUGCCCAAUUCAAACAGCAAGAGCGAGGAGAGAGUCCAGCGAUGGCUGGAGCCGAUCGAUGCCGGCGUGGUUCGCAGAACCGGAUCUGUUGGAGUAAGCAAUGAAGGGUGAUAGGGAAGAAGAUGGCGAUUGAGGUGGGCUGGAAUGGAAACAAUGGGAAGUGGCCAAAGUAAAUAGUAGACAGAGCAAGGGAAUCUAAUCGCCAGUUUCCAGAGACAAUCCUCUUUACACUCCACCCACACGCAGACGACGCAGCGGCCAAAGCUAAAUGAGGUUCUUGAUGGCGCAGGCACGGAUCGAGCACGGAGACCCUGCCGAUUCGGACGGAGCAGCGAGCCACCACACUCGACGGAAGCAGCUGAUCGAGUGGAGAGAUGGGAAAAGCACGCUUAUUGAGAUAGUACAUGAUGGAACUUAUGCAGUUUGGUAAUUUUAAUAGCUGCUAGUACAAAAUCCAAGACCCUUGAUAUACCCUAGCGUAUUCAAACAGUUCUGUAGCGCUUAACACCGUUGCGGCUUGGCACUCAGACUAAGAAUCCAAGGGAAGAAGAAAACCAGAGAGACUGGAAGAGGGGGAGAGUGCGAACCUCAACUUGCAGGGGUCUCUUUGAUCUCCAGAUCUUUGUUCUGGUAGAGAGGGCAGGGGUCCUGUUUUGUUGUGGCAAAGCAAAGCAGAGUUCUUUGUAGGUUUCCAAGAAAGAACAAUGGUAUUGCAGGCAGCGUUUGUGUGGUUGGUUCUGUAUUUUUAUCAACUGGUUGAUGUGUAAGAGGAAGAUAUGCAGAGAUAUCCAUCAAUGGUGGAUGAAUUAUUGAGCUGA